UAUAAAAAAGUAUAUUAAAGAAAAGGACUACAUUUACCAGAAUGCACCUGCACCCACUCAUCUGCCCCCACCCUUCAGGUGCGACUGCUCAACCUAUGGGCUUGACGGAAAAUUCAAAUCGCGAACCGUUACUGCCUGGACUACUCCGUCUCUUAUUUGUUUGUUUGCUCAUUAACAGUAAGAGGUCAUGUACACUGUGGUCAACUUUGUGGACGAUGAAGAGGUUUUUGGGUAAAGAUGAUAGAAAUAUAAUGAAGUAACAGUGAAAGCUAAAACAUCAGGCUGAUCCAGACACUGAAGAAAUUGAUGUCACUGCAAUCUGGCCAAAAUGAUACAACAAUAUUGAACUAGCCUACUGUAAUGAAGCUGCAGAACAACACAGAGACUCUGAGGACAUCAACACAGAAAAUGAAGGCUCCAAAGAGAUGUCUGUCCAGAUGAGGGUGCAUCAACGUUACCUUUGCUGACAAGUAUAUGCUUUACAAUGUAAAACCUAACAGUUAACUUAACUCAAACCAUUUAAGGAAAUCGGUUGCCUUAACCCAUUAAGUUUUAAAAAAACAUACAUUUGAGUACUGUGAACUUAAGUCUUGUGCAAUUAUGCACUUAUAUUUAGUUAGUGUGAACUUAAAUAUAAGUGCAUAACUGCAUGUGACUCAAUUUGUUUAAGUUCACAGUACUCAAAUCUAUGUGUUUUAAAACUUAAAUGGUUUAAUGCAACCGGUUUUCUUAAAUGGUUUGGGUUUAGUUAACUUUUAGGUUUUACUGUGAGAAAUUCUUGAAUAAUUCCAAGACAGAGCUCUGCAAUUGAAUCUACACUGCAAAAAAUCACUUUCUAUCUUAGGAUUUUUAUCUUGUUUUUAGUAGAAAAACCAAAAAUUCUUAAAUCAAGAUGUAUUUUCUUGAUGAGCAAAAUUACCUAAGAAAAUGUCUAGUUUUUAGACAAAAAUAUACAAUUUAAGUAAAUUUGUGCCUGAACAAGCAAAAAUAUAUAACAAUGGGGUGAGAAAAUUGUGCUUGAAUUAAGUUUUUAAGAAAAAAGAAAACUUAAGAUUUUUUCUCACACCAUUGGCAGAUAUUUUUGCUUGUUUUAAGCACAAAUUCACUUAAAUUG